UACGGGGGGAGCAAGCGUUGUUCGGAUUUACUGGGCGUAAAGGGCGCGUAGGCGGUCGUGACAAGUCACUUGUGAAAUCUCCGGGCUUAACUCGGAACGGUCAAGUGAUACUGUCGGACUAGAGUACAGAAGGGGCAACUGGAAUUCUCGGUGUAGCGGUGAAAUGCGCAGAUAUCAGGAGGAACACCGGUGGCGAAGGCGGGUCUCUGGGCCGAAACUGACGCUGGAGGAGCGAAAGCGUGGGUAGCAAACAGG
rnacentral:rRNA from 1 species